rnacentral:rRNA from 1 species
UACGGAGGGUGCAAGCGUUGUUCGGAAUUACUGGGCGUAAAGCGCGCGCAGGCGGAUGUUCAAGUCAGAAGUGAAAUCUCGCAGCUCAACUGCGAGGCUGCUUCUGAGACUGUACGUCUGGAGACUGGUAGAGGCUGGUAGAAUUCCCGGUGUAGCGGUGGAAUGCGUAGAUAUCGGGAAGAAUACCCGUGGCGAAGGCGGCCAGCGCUGGGCCAGAUCUGACGGCUGAGGCGACGGAA